UCCGUAGGCGGUAAGGUAAGUCAGUAGUUAAAUGUCCAGGCUCAACCUGGAAAAGGCUAUUGAUACUGCUUUACUAGAGAUAGUUAGGGGUCUGCAGAACUUAUGGUGUAGCGGUGAAAUGCGUUGAUAUCAUAAGGAAUACCGAGGGGGAAGCCAGCAGACUGGGACUAUUCUGACGCUCAUGGACGAAAGCGUAGGUAGCGACAC
rnacentral:rRNA from 1 species